rnacentral:rRNA from 1 species
GACGAACGCUGGCGGCGUGCUUAACACAUGCAAGUCGAACGGAAAGGCCCUGCUUUUGUGGGGUGCUCGAGUGGCGAACGGGUGAGUAACACGUGAGUAACCUGCCCUUGACUUUGGGAUAACUUCAGGAAACUGGGGCUCAUAUCGGGGAGGAGCUCCUGCUGCGUGGUGGGGGUUGGAAAGUUUCGGCGGUUGGGGCUGGACUCGCGGGUUAUCAGCUUGUUGGUGGGGUAGUGGUUUACAAAGGCUUUGACGGGUAGCCGGCCUUAGAGGGUGACCGGCCACAUUGCGACUGAGAGACGGACCAGACGCCUACGGGACGCAGCAGUGGGGAAUCUUGCACAGUGGGCGCACGCCUGAGACAGCAACCUCGGGUGCGGGAUGAUCGCUUAUGGGUUGUAAACCGCUGUCGCCUGAGACGAGGCGUGAGUGACGGUAACUGGUAAGGAAGCACCGGCUAACUACGUG